ensembl:lncRNA
GCGAGGAAGCGGCGAAUCCUAACAAGCUUUCGGAGAAGAGUUCCAGCGUUCACAACCCAACCCGUGCAUUGUGGCCGGGUUUUGAAUGGCGGCGGUUUGGCUUGGAGCGUCGAGCAUAUAAACUUCACAACCCCGCCGUAUUGGCUGAACUUACCCUGAACAGAUGCUCGAAAACUCCAACGGGAGCCCAGGCGUGGCUCUCGUCACCAUGUGCAUUUGUGUUAUUGUCCCGCGAGCGCUGAAAAAGUCGGUGAACGCGGCCAAAAGAAACACAGCAACGAAAAAGAACAUGGCGUGUUAUGACUGCGGCCAGCAGUGUUAAUAACAAGUUAAUAAUGCAUUUUUUGUCGGAUAAACGCGGCCCUCAUAUUGAAGUAGAAGCUUGAAGCUUUUCUAAACACGACACAUGAGCAACACAUGUAUACAAUGAAUGCACGUCAUUUUACUGAAUCCACAUAUUGUCGAAUUAUUAUUAUUUCAUCAAACUACACUCAAAGGGUGUCACGGUGUGGUUUUAUAUCCGGUCUUAUUUUGUAGUUUUCUGCUUCUUGUCUCCCUGGGUAACUUCACUUCCUGCCUUGUCCUGUCAUCCCCUGUGAUUGUCUGAUUGUUUCCACCUCCAAUCACCUGCACCUCCCUAGUGUAUUUAAGCUGUGUGUGUCUCCUGUCGCUUGUCGCGUCAUUGUCUAUCGUCCUGGAUGUGCCUCGUUCCUGUCUGCCUUUUUGCCCUCCUGUUCCUGUCUGCCUUUUUGCCCCCCCUGUUCCUGUCUGCCUUUUUGCCCCCCCUGUUCCUGCGUGUGUUUUUGCCACUUGGCCAUUUUUGUGUUGGAGUUUAAAACUCUGCAUUUGAGUCCUGCCUUCCUACUCAACCCUGACAAAGGGGGCCGCUAUCGGAUUUAGUUGUUCUUACUCUGCCAGUCCCUUCUGCUCACUUUGUUUCAGCGCCGUGCCAACGGAGGGGAGAGAACUGGCAGAGCAAGUUUAAAAAUGUAGUCCAACAACAAGGAUUUGUAACUUCAUCUUUUAAUUGCAAGUGGGUUGAUUUUGGCACAGAUGACACACAGAUUGGUGGUGAUGGACGCGCCAAGGCUGUGGGUGUGGCAACACAACAGUUCCUUCUCUAGAAGUACAACGCCAUGAACAUAAAACCAGCACUCAAAACUUUUCUACUGACAUACAAACAUUAACGGUGACUCCGGAUAGCCGUCGCUGCACCUGCAGUGACUGUCAAGGGCUGGUAGAUGAAUGUCCCUCCUGCUAAGCUCGAUCUGGAUUUGUUUGCGCAGCUUCUACCGAGAUGUUAUCUAUCUCAUGAAGAAUUAUGAAAGCGUUCUUGUGGUGACGAAGCCCUGCUUGGAGUUUUAGAGUGAAGGUUUCUUGUAGAUGUGCAGAUAGAGUGGAUGAGUGGGUGGACCAACGUGGGUGAUGCAUGCACAAACAAUGUGAGCAGACAGUAGGUCUGCUCAUGUGUAACUGAUUGUUUCAGAGAGAAAUAAAGCCCAAAACAUUCUGAGCUGCGAGGGAGACGUUGAAUGUGAGUCUACCCCUCGAGGUGGAUGCGUGAAGUUAAGUUGUUCCUUAACUAAAGUAGAAUAUUAGACACUAACAAACUAAAUUUGUUUUGCAACUUUAUGUUACUGGAAAGUAUUUAUUGUGAUACUAUAGAUUGAAAACUGGAUCUUGUCGUCAGUAUUUUGUUCAAUGGGAUGAAGAGAAGCUGGCUGAAGUUAACGGAGACAUCAGCACCUAAAAUGACUGGAACAAUGAAAGAUUACAGCUUCAGACCCUUGAGAAACAGACACCACAGAGCUACAGGAACACAAUUAAACCCAAGCAUAAAAAAGAAAAAUAGUGAGCAACAACUAUUACUAGGUGUUAAGUCGGUGAAGCUCCUCCAGAAUCAAACUAGCCAAGCAAUCAAAAACGUCACAAAAUAUAUCUUAUACCUUAAACUGGGGCUGCUGGGAUUGUGACAGAAAACUCAUUUUCACAUCUGUUUCAGCGGCUUAACAAAUCUAAAUGGGUCUCCUGAAGCUCUGUUCUGGGACCGGUUCAAUAAUUCAUUGGAUCUGAGCUCAGGACGUUACCUCCACCGCCUCAGGCUUCUUGGCCACGACCGGCGCUCGGGCCGGGAUGGCCGCCUUCUGCCAUUAGCACGGCUCUGAUCAGAUUUACAGUUGGGCCUUUGGCCAACAGAGAGGCCCGGAGAAGGAGAGUCCUGGCCGCCAUGGCUGAAGCACACGGGGGGGGGUCAUUUAGCAGGCUGCAGUGACCACUGAUGCACCGCACUUAGCAUGCCGCCGUCAUUAGGGCACACGGUGCGUGAUGCCCCCGCCAGGAAGAGAAGCAGUGCAGGUGGCUCAGCACGUGAGAACAAGCCCUUUUGAUUUCCCCUCUAAAUACCCUGGUACACCCACUGAUAUUUGUUAUUUUAGGCAUCAAUGAUGGAGGUCAGUAUAGUGAAGGUUUCAUGUAACCGUGUCUGGGCCCAAAGAGCAAAUCAACGCCGACUAAAGAGGAAACGAUGAUGUCACAGAAGGAGGGAUUGGAGGGAAGAAAAUCAAAAGAUAGAGAGUGUGUCGAGCGGCGGCGACCCUCCCACAGCCCUACCUGUGGUGGAACAGAUUGGACCCGCUGCAGCGCGUUCUGAUUGCCGCGGCGCUUGAGCGUCAGCUGACAGAUGGCUGCCUGCAAGCAGCCCGGUGCGGCGGGCCGUCCGCAUCCUCCACUGAUUGGAAGCUCAUGCACACACGCGGCCAACACGCCUCGCGCCCACGUACAUAGACUGGUGACAUUAAAAGCAAAAAGGGUGAGGGAGGAACGGAGGACAUGGUUGUUUUUCAUAUUGGUGGCACGUUGCUGUUCCUCCCCACGGGUCGCAGCCAUUGUUCACAAUCAGACAGGAUAUAUGAAAGGAGGGAAUAAGGUUGGACCUUUUCCACUUCAAUGUUUAAUAGGAGGGUAAAAAUGAUGCUUCAAGAAAUAGAUAAUAAAGCUCUCUUUAUUGCAGGCAUUCUAACAAAGGUGACUGUCUCAAAACUCAUUUCCAUGUCUUAGGGCUCUUCCAAAUAUUCCCUCAGCACUAUGAGUCACAAUUUAAAACGGUGUGUAUGCAUAAGGCCGCCACAUGCUACAGAGUAAGGAUAGAGAGGAAGACAUUCUUUCCUGGGGAAGUUGUGAGCCGUGAUUUCCUAAUCUCAUCUGAAAUGAACUGUAUCAAAUCUCCUAUUGAUAUCCUUACAAAUUCCUACGUAUCAUGUUAAUUACUAUGUCAUCAAUUUACAAAACAGUUCUCUUGUUAAGUCCAAAAAUGUGGACUACUUGUAUUGAAUCAUGAAUCUAGAUGAAAUCUGAAAAAAUCAGUCGAGUUACAUUAAAUAGACGCAACGUCCUGUGUGACUAAGAACCCUCACAGAUGAGCGAUAACGUGCACGUACAGCACACUCGUCGGUUUAGAUGAUCGAGAUCAUCCGCAGGUCACAAAGGGGUUUAAAAGCAGCCACACGCUACGCCGUGAAAUGAUCCUAUCUGCAUUCUUCAGCGUAGACGCGCCCUCGUCAAAAACACCCUCGAACAAUCCAGUCAGCAAACUCAUGCGACUGUGAAAUAGACAAUAUAGCAUAUCUCAGCCGCCACAUCCCAACACAAUUCAUUUUCUUUCUGCACCAUUUACACUCCCACACACACCCACACACACACACACACACACACACACACACACACACACACACACACACACACACACACAUGGGAUCUCAGGGCAAAUGGUUUGCAUGGAUCUCGUGCCUUCCAAACACCUCCUGUUGCCCUAAAUAUCUUGUAAUGAAAGGCGCGGCCUCGGUAAUCCGUGACGGAAGGCAGUUUCAUGCUAGUUUAGCUUCCAUCACCUGUGUCGCUCCCUCCACCGCCCCACCGAGACAAGCCCUCGUCUCCGGCGCACUCGUCCUCCGUCGUCCUCCGUCGUCCCGUUUUUCCUUUUGCAGAGAAACCGCACGGGUCGUCUACACGUAAAACACGUCUCGUCGAGGUAAAUGAGGAUGAUUUUUUUGGUAUGGUUGCUCAUGCGAGCGUUUUAUUGUGAAAAAAGUAAGAUGCAGGUGUUUGAGUGUCCUCCAAAGCGGCCUGAAGAGAAGCCGCAUACGGCCAGUCCCUCUGAUUUCCUGUUAACGGUGUUUGUGUUGCGUCUUUUCGGCGAGCGAGACGCUGAUGAAGGUGGAUGGCAGCAGACAGCGGCUCGGAGCCUCGGCCCUCCGAGGAAGACCCUCUCACGCGUUCUGGCAGCCCUUCCAACAGAAUGGAUGAUUCUGGAACAGCAGCUCCCUCUUCACCUCGUGCCAAGACAUUUACAAUUCAAACAUGGACCAAGGAUUAACCUUGAUGCCGCGGCCUGGAGGGAGUUACUGCUGUGACUUGUUUCAUCUGGCGGAGGAGGAAAGAAGAUGACACCGCAACGCUGCUGCAGAUGCAAAACGCCUUCAGGCUUCAGGAGCUUGGGAUUCAACUGCCCUCCCUAAAAUUGAAAACCUCAUCAGGAGAUAAUUCUGGGAGCUGCCACAAUGCCAGCUAUGUGCCGCUGUCACCUUAUCUUAGGGGCCUUUUGCGGCCCGCUGCUCCCGUCCGCGGAGCCCCGGGGAAGACAGCUUAGUACCCGUUGUGGCUCCAGCGGCAGAGCAGAGCAGGCCGGUGGAGAUCACUCACUUUAAUAGGCCUGUCACAUCUGUUUUUAGAACCUGGGGAGGUCUCCUGCUGCCGGCCUCCAUGUGAAGUGACCCCAAAAAGGAUGUGACAAGUCGGGAUGAGCUCGGGGAGGCCAGAGGAGCAAGGCAAAGGGAUUAGAUACAGGGUGAAAAAAUAAAAGGGGGUAAAAUACAAAUUCUAAAGUCUAGAGAUUAUAACAUAUAUAUAUAUUUUUUUUAUUCUGAAUAAUCGUGGGCGAUUUUCUUAGUAAAAGGAAGUAAAGCGGUGCCUACGUUUGCUGAAGGCAAACCGGUUGAGGAAGAUUUUCAGCCUUUGUUAAGGUGUCCCUCGUGAUUACACGCCGCUAUCACUUGAUGCCCCGCCCCCUACGGCGGAUCGGGGCCAAAAGGGAGAAAAAAUACGGAAGUGAAUCUGAAAAUAUAAAAGCUGCGCCUGAAAAUUCGUAACCCUCAAAUAUCAAAAAAAAUAUAUAUAUACAUAUAUUUUAGUGAAGGAUGAAAAUAGAUACUUAAUUUAAAAGAAUUUAAGAACGGAGUCAAGAUGAUAUUGAACCACAGAAAGACCAAAUUUCAGGUUCAGUUGUUUUUUUCAAAUGAUCAAAACCGUUGGCAUCCAUCUAACUUUGUGCAGUAAACCGUGUGAAUUCUUGGAUAUUGUUUUUGAUUUAAAUCAACCGUUUUCUCUACUCUCCAUGACCAAGCCAACACAAUUAUCGGCGGCGGCCUGAGUUUUCUUGCACUCCGCUCAGCGCUGCACUUCCUCACUUCCUGCCGCCACUUAAUUCCCAACAGAUCGCCGUUGAGCUUUGAUUAUCAGUUCACAAAAUAUCCCACAGUCCAUAAAUCACCAGCAUACAACCACAGCGAGCCGGUGUUCUAAUCACAUAGUUAGAAAAGUUAACAUCUGUUAAUCUCAUUGAGUAUCUUUUACUGUUAAAUUCAACGCCGGAUAUCGUGAGCCACAGUGAGUGCUGCCAAACAAAUGUAUUGAUUCAUUCAUCCCCAGUGAACUUAAUUAAUAUGUUGACAGUAAGUUCACAUGUUACCCGAUAUCAAUCUACACACGACGUAUGCUAUUGUACGGGUGAAGAAGAACACCUUACUCCAUCUUCCUGCAUCUUCUGAUCACUGAAUUCUUGUCAUUGUAUCCAGCGGAGUAACGGAUGCCGGCGCUACGAGGGAAAUGUGUAGCCGUCUACUUUACCGGGGUUUCUCAUUCCAAUCAGCGAGUGUCGGCCCAGUCGGCCGCGUAAUUAAUGACUUGCUGACUGGCCACUAACAGUCCAACGAGUCUGUCCGACGGCAUCGUCGAGCAGCUGAAGCCUGCAGGAAAGAGAGAGGAAUGGCUCCAUUGAUACUUCAUGUGCUGCACUGCGCCCCUCAAUCAUGGGCAUGUUAUUCAAUCAAGGAGGGGGGGGGGUUGUAAUCGAUGUAAGCUAAAACAGAUUUUCCAAUAGCAACUUAUGAAAGUAGUAAAUGUAGUCUUCCUAGUGAAUGCACAUGUAAAUAUAUAUAUAUAUAUAUAUAAGUAGUGCUGUAUGAAAGAAAGGCAAGAAAAUCCAUUUUUCCGUGGUACAUUUUGAAGGCAAACCUUUGAGCUUUGAAAUAACCCGAGAACAACAAGUCUACUCCUACUCCAGAGGAGCCAAAUUUAGCACAUUUAUUCUUGUGUUUAGCGUUUGAAUGACAUGAGGCAUUCAUGUUGUUAAAUCUUUAAUGCCUACAUUUUACAUUUUACCAUUUCAAAAUAAAUAGCU